CCGGGGUUGCGGACAGUGUCUGGUGGGUAGUUUGACUGGGGCGGUCUCCUCCCAAAGCGUAACGGAGGAGCACGAAGGUUAGCUAAUCCUGGUCGGACAUCAGGAGGUUAGUGCAAUGGCAUAAGCUAGCUUGACUGCGAGCGUGACGGCGCGAGCAGGUGCGAAAGCAGGUCAUAGUGAUCCGGUGGUUCUGAAUGGAAGGGCCAUCGCUCAACGGAUAAAAGGUACUCCGGGGAUAACAGGCUGAUACCGCCCAAGAGUUCAUAUCGACGGCGGUGUUUGGCACCUCGAUGUCGGCUCAUCACAUCCUGGGGCUGAAGUAGGUCCCAAGGGUAUGGCUGUUCGCCAUUUAAAGUGGUACGCGAGCUGGGUUUAGAACGUCGUGAGACAGUUCGGUCCCUAUCUGCCGUGGGCGCUGGAGAAUUGAGGGGGGCUGCUCCUAGUACGAGAGGACCGGAGUGGACGCAUCACUGGUGUUCGGGUUGUCAUGCCAAUGGCACUGCCCGGUAGCUAAAUGCGGAAGAGAUAAGUGCUGAAAGCAUCUAAGCACGAAACUUGCCCCG
rnacentral:rRNA from 1 species